rnacentral:rRNA from 1 species
UACGUAGGGUGCAAGCGUUGUCCGGAAUUAUUGGGCGUAAAGAGCUCGUAGGCGGUUUGUCGCGUCUGCUGUGAAAUCCCGAGGCUCAACCUCGGGUCUGCAGUCGAUACGGGCGGACUGGAGUUCGGCAGGGGAGACUGGAAUUCCUGGUGUAGCGGUGAAAUGCGCAGAUAUCAGGAGGAACACCGGUGGCGAAGGCGGGUCUCUGGGCCGAUACUGACGCUGAGGAGCGAAAGCGUGGGGAGCGAACAGG